AGUGAACGCUGGCGGUAGGCCUAACACAUGCAAGUCGAACGGCAGCACAGGAGAGCUUGCUCUCUGGGUGGCGAGUGGCGGACGGGUGAGGAAUACAUCGGAAUCUACUUUUUCGUGGGGGAUAACGUAGGGAAACUUACGCUAAUACCGCAUACGACCUACGGGUGAAAGCAGGGGACCUUCGGGCCUUGCGCGAUUGAAUGAGCCGAUGUCGGAUUAGCUAGUUGGCGGGGUAAAGGCCCACCAAGGCGACGAUCCGUAGCUGGUCUGAGAGGAUGAUCAGCCACACUGGAACUGAGACACGGUCCAGACUCCUACGGGAGGCAGCAGUGGGGAAUAUUGGACAAUGGGCGCAAGCCUGAUCCAGCCAUACCGCGUGGGUGAAGAAGGCCUUCGGGUUGUAAAGCACUUUCGGUCAGAAAGAAGGGGGCGUAGUUAAUAACUGCGUUCCUUGACGGUACUGACAUAAGAAGCACCGGCUAACUCCGUGCCAGCCGCCGCCGUAA
rnacentral:rRNA from 1 species